rnacentral:lncRNA from 1 species
AGAGUUAGCUCCAGGUAAAUGUUGCAAUUCUUCAGCCAUUCCUGGACCUGUGACCGAAAACAAGCUACAUAUGGACAGUACUUAAACAAAUUAUCUAAUGAUUCUGUCUCUUCGCAGCAAAAUCUGCAGAGCUGGAAGAAAAAAGGACAUUUCGUGUUGGAGGCAGUGUGGACAAAUAAACUCAUAAAAAAGGAAUGUCUUCUCACUGUCAACUGCGUUUAUUUUCAGCAAACUUAACAUGUGUAAAUAUUUGUAUGAACAUAAGAUUCAACAACUGAGACAUAAACUGAACAAGUUCCACAGACAUGUGACUAACUGAAAUUGAAUAAUGUGUCCUUGAACAAGGGGAGGGGUCAAAAUCAAAAGUAAUAGUCAGUAUCUGGUGUGGCCACCAUCUGCAUUAAGUACUGCAGUGCAUCUCCUCCUCAUGGACUGCACCAGAUUUGCCAGUUCUUGCUGUGAGAUGUUACCCCACUCUUCCACCAAGGCACCUGCAAGUUCCCGGACAUUUCUGAGGGGAAUGGACCUAGCCCUCACCCUCCGAUCCAACAGGUCCCAGACGUGCUCAAUGGGAUUGCGAUCCGGGUUCUUCGCUGGCCAUGGCAGAACACUGACAUUCCUGCAGGAUAUCACUCACAGAACGAGCAGUAUGGCUGGUGGCAUUGUCAUGCUGGAGGGUCAUGUCAGGAGGAGGAUGUAUUCCCUGUAACGCACAGCAUUGAGAUUGCCCGUAAUGACAACAACUCAGUCCGAUGAUGCUUUGACACACUGCCCCAGACCAUGACGGACCCUCCACCUCCAAAUCGACCCGGCUCCAGAGUACAGGCCUUGGUGUAACGUUCAUUCCUUCGACAAUACAGGCGCAUCCGACCAUCACCCCUGGUGAGACAAAACCGCGACUCAUCAGUGAAGACCACUUUUUGCCAGUCCUGUCUGGUCCAGCGACGGUGGGUUUGUGCCCAUAGGCCACAUUGUUGCCGGUGAUGUCUGGUGAGGACCUGCCUUACAACAGGCCUACAAGCCCUCAGUCCAGCCUCCCUAAGCCUAUUGUGGACAGUCUGAGCACUGAUGGACGGAUUGUGCAUUCCUGGUGUAACUCGGGCAGUUGUUGUUGGCAUCCUGUACCUGUCCCGCAAGUGUGAUGUUCGGAUGUACCGAUCCUGUGCAGGUGUUGUUACACAUGGUCUGCCACUGCGAGGACGAUCAGCUGUCCAUCUUGUCUCCCUGUAGCACUGUCUUAGGCGUCUCACAGUACGGACAUGGCAAUUUAUUGCUCUGGCCACAUCUGCAGUCCUCAUGCCUCCUUGCAGCAUGCCUAAGGCACGUUCACACAGAUGAGCAGGGACACUGGGCAUAUUUCUUUUGGUGUUUUUCAGAGUCAGUAGAAAGGCCUCUUUAGUGUCCUAAGUUUUCAUAACUGUGACCUUAAUUGCCUACCCUCUGUAAACUGUUAGUGUCUUAACGACCGUUCCACAGGUGCAUGUUCAUUAAAUGUUUAUGGUUCAUUGAACAAGCACGGGAAACAGUGUUUAAACCCUUUACAAUGAAGAUCUGUGAAGUUAUUUGGAUUUUUACGAAUUAUCUUUGAAAGACAGGGUCCUGAAAAAGGGACGUUUCUUUUUUUGCUGAGUUUAGGUAUUGUUCUUGUGGAUACAGUCCUCUCCACUUAAAUUGAUACAUCAUAUUUUAGCAGUAGCAAGGAAUUGUGUAACAAAAUGCAGGAAAAAUUAACAUGCACGUUCAAAAGAUAUGUGGUUAGGUCUAUGCGAGGAAGUUGCUGACAUGGACAGAAUUACUUCAAUCUUGCAACAUAGAUAGCAUAGGUAUGAAGGUGUCUGGUCAGAGUUCCUGACAUAUCGUACAGGUCUUGUUCUGUUAUUUAUGGGCUUUUUGUUUGUUUCUUUUGUUUUUGUGUGGCUUAAUCCAAAUUGUAUACUUAUUCAGACUCUUGAAAUAUUUGCUCUAAACAGCCAAAAUGUACCCUUAACAUGUGAAUGUAACUACGCUCCUUUGUAAAGACAGCAAAGAUAAGUUGUGUAUGUAUGGUACAUGUUUUUUAUGUGCUCUUUAAUAAAAAUGUAUGUUUAAAAUAUAAAAACAAGGACAUUUCUAAGUAACCGCAAACUUUUGAACGGUAGUGCAUGCUAACAAGAUUAGGGUGUGUAUAUUAUAAUUCUACAUUUGAUAUACUGAACAAAAAUAUAAAUGUUAAGUGAUGGUCCCAUGUUUCAUGAAUUGAAAUAAACCCAGAAAUUUUCCAUA